rnacentral:rRNA from 1 species
UACAGAGGUCCCAAGCGUUGUUCGGAUUCAUUGGGCGUAAAGGGUGCGUAGGCGGCGCGGUAAGUCGGGUGUGAAAUCUCGGGGCUUAACUCCGAAACUGCAUUCGAUACUGCCGUGCUUGAGGACUGGAGAGGAGACUGGAAUUUACGGUGUAGCGGUGAAAUGCGUAGAUAUCGUAAGGAAGACCAGUGGCGGAGGCGGGUCUCUGGACAGUUCCUGACGCUGAGGCACGAAGGCCAGGGGAGCAAACGGG